rnacentral:lncRNA from 1 species
AAAUUCCAUGAUUUUUUUUACUAUAUCCCUAUUAAGAUUAGAGGGGAUUUGGUAAAGAAUAGAUUAAAUAGGCUCUUUUUUUUUUUUUCAGGUUCUCUAAUUUUUGAUGGAGCUAAUUUAAUUUUUAUUUUUGUGGUCUUUUGAUUAUAACACUUUUUUUAAAAAAUAUUAUCGAUCUUUAUUCAAAAAUUUACAUUAAAAAAUAGUUUUAACUUAAUUAAUUAAAAUGUUCUAUUAAGCGGGAUUGCCACAAAGAAUAUGUGAUAGAAUCCAAUUGAUAUUUGCUAACAAUAUAAAUUAUAUAAUUAUUUAACUAUAAAUAUUGAAUAUUUGAAGAUGUUUAACACAAAUGAAUGAAUAGUUGUGAUGGAAUGCAUAACUAUUAAUCUCUAAUUAAUCUAUGUAAUAUGGCUGAAUUGAAUAACACGAUGAUAUAUUCAAAAUCAAUCAAGAGAGAAUAAGAAACUCAAUAGUAUUAUCUGUUAUCUUAUUUCAUUUUAUAACCAUCACCUUAUAUUAUAAAGAAAUAUCUAUAUGGUUUUUGAAAUUAUUAAAAGAAAAAAAUACAAAUUAUUUUGUGCUAACAAAAUAACUAAAUGACAACUCAUGGAAUAUUCUAACAGUGCUAUUUUCUUGAGUUCCUCACUAAAUAAGUAAUCAUAUAGGAACUCGUAUACAUCUACAUAUAUUAUUCUUACAUAUCGGCAUCAUACCAUCGGGGCAUAUAUCGUAUGAACAAUCAUCAUCGCUAACGCAUUUAUAAGCCACUGUGAUAAAAAAGAAUAUAAUUAAAUUGAAAUAAAAAAUUGAAUAAUAAUUAAGGAAAAAUAUUUGAAAGAAUAAAAAUUGCUUACUGUUAUCGUUCAUUUCAACAAGGAUUAUGCAGAGAAAAAUAAUCAAAACAUAAACAAAUUUAACAAUUCCUGCCAUAUUUCUUUUGUUUGUAUGUUACAAAUGUUUUUAUCGGUUUAUAAUUUAUGUAUCCUACUCUCUCCUUGUAUCAAUUAUAAUCAUUAUUAAAUGUCUCUUCAGUAUAUAUCAAUUUAUUGUGUCCGUCUCUUUAGCAAAGUAAAAAAGAAAUCACAUAAAAAAACAUAUCAAUCGUGUAAGUUCAUUAUUUAUUAUUACUUGAUUCC